GACGUAAGGGAAUGCAACCAAUGACAUUACAGUAUCAUUCGCGCGAACACAAUUUAAAUUGUCGGCAUUGUGUACGGAAGUCAUUUUUUGCUAAUUGCGACUGGUUGAAACUGACUAUUGUUUGUGAUGGCGUGUAAAAGAAACCUGAGUUUUACUAUUCCCGUGAGUAAUAGGGCUUUGCAACCAGCAGCAAGCCCACUGAGCAUAAAUGAUUUAAUGAAACAGCUGAUCUCGAAGAUGCUAUCCAGCGUCUUUGUGCUCUUGAGCGAAAGUUUGACGAGCAAAGACCGCAAGAGGAACAAAGACCGCGGGAAGAGCCAUUAAAUAAAAGGAUAAAGAGGGCGCACAACGUGGGCAUUGCGGAAGCUGUAAGGCGCCUUCACAAUUCGGAAAACAACCCACAUAAAUAUGAUCCACAAACUGGAAUAAGUUCGCCUCGUAACCAAGCAGUCAUGACUUAUCUGCUAGAGGAAUUGAAAACAACUUUUGCAGAUGCAGACCCUGAGUGUACACAAGCGUGUUGCAAGACAUACUUUGAAACACUUCGGAGAAAGUACAAUUUGUCUCAGCCAGAAAAAGUCCCAGCUAAGAGAUGCCAUUAAAACAGGAGCUAAAAACCGACAAAGGAAAAGACGGUUGCUGGAUUCCAGGUCCAAGGUUGUUCAAACCGAUGCAGAGAGAGAGCUUUGGCAGACUGCAACAGUGGAGCUGAUGUCUGACGAGGAGGAUGCCAUUGUUGAUGGAAGGCCAGUGUGGAUUGUGAGGUCUCCAUCUCACAGGAACCCACAAUUGUCAGAACUUUGUGAGGAGCUUCAGCGCAGAUUGGAGGCAGACAUGCGCUACACUAUUUUGCAUCAUCAGCGUGUUAAGGCUGAUGGAAAUGGACAUGAUGG
ensembl:lncRNA